rnacentral:rRNA from 1 species
UACGGAGGUUCCAAGCGUUGUUCGGAAUUACUGGGCGUAAAGGGAGCGCAGGCGGACAGGUCAGUUUAAAGUGGAAUCCCAGGGCUCAACCCUGGACGUGCUUUGGAUACUGCCUGUCUUGAGUUCGUGAGAGGAAAGUGGAAUUCAGGGUGUAGCGGUGAAAUGCUUAGAUAUCCUGAGGAACACCAGUGGCGAAAGCGACUUUCUGGCACGAAACUGACGCUGAGGCUCGAAAGCAUGGGUAGCGAACGGGAUUAGAUACCCCGGUAGUCCAUGCCGUAAACGUUGUAUACUAGGUGCGGGAGGUAUCGACCCCUUCCGUGCCGAAGCUAACGCAUUAAGUAUACCGCCUGGGGAGUACGCGCGCAAGCGUGAA